rnacentral:rRNA from 1 species
UGCAUAUCAAUAAGCGGAGGAAAAGAAACUAACAAGGAUUCCCCUAGUAACGGCGAGUGAAGAGGGAAGAGCUCAAAUUUUGAAUCUGGCGUCUUUGGCGUCCGAGUUGUAAUCUAGAGAAGUGUUUUCCGUGGCGGACCGUGCAUAAGUCUCCUGGAAUGGAGCGUCAUAGAGGGUGAGAAUCCCGUAUAUGGCACGGACUCCCGUUGCUCUGUGAUACACUCUCAACGAGUCGAGUUGUUUGGGAAUGCAGCUCUAAUUGGGUGGUAAAUGCCAUCUAAAGCUAAAUAUUGGCGAGAGACCGAUAGCGAACAAGUACCGUGAGGGAAAGAUGAAAAGCACUUUGGAAAGAGAGUGAAACAGUACGUGAAAUUGUUGAAAGGGAAACGCUUG